rnacentral:rRNA from 1 species
UACAGAGGAGCCAAGCGUUGUCCGGAUUGACUGGGCGUAAAGCGCACGCAGGCGGACGCGCGCGUGGGGUGUGAAAUCUGGCCGCUUAACGGCCAGGCGCCAUCCCAUACGGCGCGUCUGGAGUGAUGCAGAGGUCGGUGGAAUUGCCGGUGUAGUGGUGAAAUGCGUAGAGAUCGGCAGGAACACCCAGGGGGAAACCAGCCGACUGGGCAUCUACUGACGCUGAGGUGCGAGAGCGUGGGGAGCGAGCCGG